rnacentral:rRNA from 1 species
GCCUGGGAUUUUCACACUCCCAUAAUCUUGUUCUUGAAAAUUACGUUUACUCCAGGAAGCUAAGCAGGGUUGGACCUGGUUAGUACUUGGAUGGGAGACCACCUAGGAAGACCAGGUGCUGUAGGCG